GAGCACUUCCUCCGGUUAUACUUUCGGGGAUUCUUUCAAAAAUUCCCUCGUCUCGCGAAUGCAGACCAAGCGAUUUCUGCCAAUAAUAAUUUCCAAGGCAAAACAGCGUUCCGCUAGGGAGAAAAAAGUUUUGUUUUGCGGUGGUAUCUUCAGAGAAUUUGCCAUUCAUAUUGUAUAUGUUUAUGUACUUCCAAAACUGCUCCAUGGCCGGAUUUUUUUGCUGGAAACCGCGGAGGGUAGAAUCCUUAAAACGCCAAAGUCAGUGCUCUUUGAACAGGUGUCGAUACUCUCAGGUCGAUCGAUACUACUUUAGUCCCGCUGCGACUGGCCCCGCUGACCACUGGCACUGUUCCAAUGCCGAAGAAGACUUUGGAAGGCCUGCUACAUAAGGUGUGAGGGAGCGUCAGAUCGAAAAUCGCUGCUGUCGAUUACGAACGAGAAGCUUAUCGUCAACGCUGUUUUGAUACACUAUUCACAUAGUACUUAUGUCAAUAUUUAUAUGAAGCUCUGCUUCUAUAUCACUGGAAUUCCCACAUGGCGGGGGAGUGGCCUGCUCACCACAGUAUCGUCCACUGCUUGUCGGAUAACUAUUAAUGUUCGACGUCGGCGUGAGCAAUUCGGAUUCAUUUGAAUUACAAUUUCGAACAGACGCUGUUUCUGGUUCAAUGAAUUAUCCCUGUCUCAAGGCAUGUGUAUUAUCGCAUGUCUCAUUGCUGAAUUUCGCACAUACCACCAAAGAGUCCCCGAAGGUAACCGCGUAGGAAUCUCCGAGGGAAUACGUGAAGGAAUCUCCGGAAGAAUCCACGAAGGAAUCCAUGAAAGAAUCUCACAAGGAAUCCGCGAUAAAAUGGCCGGAGGAAUCCGCUAAGGAAUGCACGAAGAAAUUCCCGAAAGAAUCCGCCAAGGAAUGACCGAAGGAAUCCUCGAAAGGACCGCGAAGGAAUGCCCGAAGGAAUUCUCAAAGGAAUACGCGAAGGAAUCCACGAAGGUAUUCGCGAAGGCAUCCACGAAGGAAUCUGCGAAGAAAUCCACGAACGAAUCCCCGAAGGUAUCCAUGAAGAAAUCUCCGAAUUAAUAUGCGCAGGAAUCUCAGAAGGCAUCUCCGAAGGAAUAAGCGAAGGAAUCCACGAAAAAAUCCCCGAAUGAAUCCACGAACAAAUCCUCGAAGGUAUCCGCGAAGAAAAUCACGAAGGAAUCCCCAGAAGAAUCCGCGAUGGAAUCUCCGUAGGAAUCCACGAACAAAUCCGCGAAGGAAUCCCCGAAUUGAUACGCGCAGGCAUCCCCGAAGGAAUACGCGAAGGAACCGGCGAAAGAAACCCCGAAUGAAUCCACGCAGAAUCUUGAAAGAAAUCCGCGAAGUAUUCACAGAAGGGAUCCACGAAGGCAUCUCCGAAGGAAUACGCGAAAGAAUCCCAGAAGGAACCCGCGAAAGGAUCCCCGAAGGCAUUUGCGAAGGAAUCUGUCAAGAAAUCCGCGAUAGAAUGCCUGAAAAAAUCCGCGACGAGUUCCGCCAUGGAAUCCCCGAGGGAAUGCCCGAAGGAAUUUUUGGAGGAAGUCCGGGAGUUAUUUCAGCAGUAAUUAUCGGAGGAUUUUCCAAAUAAAUUCCUGAAUAAAUUUCCGAAGGAAUUCCAGAAGGAUUUGCCGGAGGAAUUCUCAAAGGAAAGCUUAGAGGAAGUCCCGGAGAACCCCAGAUGAAAUAAAAAUAUUCCAGAGAAAUUCUUUGAGGAGGGGAUUCGCAGUUCAAUUUCUUGAGGAAGUAUUAUAUAAAAUUCUUGAUGAAGUUAUUCCCAUAUGAAUUUAUUGUGCAACGAUGUAACAGAAAACUGGAGAAGAAGAAAAGAUCACCUGGAACCCAAAAAUCUCAAAAUUCCUCUUGAAACAUAAAUUCCCAGAAUAAUUCGUACGAAGAAUAGCUUCAGAAGAAGUUUCUAGGUGUAGGAAAUCUCUGAAUCAUUCCUCGAUUAAGAAAUUCUUAGGAAAGAAUUCUGAAGUGCAAAAGUUGUUUUUUGGUCCUCCUUGUGUACGCGGUUCAUAUUUCAUUGCAGCGCUGGAAGUGUUCGGAUCAGCUGAAAAAUGAAUGCCGAACUUGAACGGCGCAAUUCAACGAGCAACAGUUGAUGGAGUGGAUUUAAUUUCAGUCCCAGGGCUAUCCGAAUGGCAGUGACGUAAACGACCGAUACCGCAUUCAGUCAUAAGUGUCGUAUUCAGGAUGUUGCCAGUAAGAAACAUCCGUUCCAGCAAAUAAUAGGUUAUCAGCUUUGGAAGUAAUCGUCUGGUGGUGAAGCCAGCGAUGACCAUAACAUCGUUGGUCUUUCAAAACGACGGAAUCGGGCACCCAGGAGAGAAAUAAAAGUCCGUCGCUUCGUUGGCUGUUGGAGUUUGGCACGUGAUACUGCGAGUACAUCUAAUCCGGAAUCUGAAGCAUGAUAAAAUCUUGUCGAUCUCAAGAACUGAUUCAGGAUACCACUAUCCCCGAAAAUUCGAUCCUGUUCUACCGGAAGAUGUGCUGUUCUACGCCUUCGAUAAGGACACCCACAAGUCCGAGAACCGUAACAUGAUUUCCGACGUGUUCGUCGAAUGUUCAAAUUACAGAUUCAAGAUACAUAUCGCCGCUACGAUAUCUGGAGCUGUAAUUUUUCAAAUUCAUUGCCAUUAUCUCCACCAUUAGCGAACAUUUCUGAUAGGACGAUCAUCGUGCCAACGAAUUCCUCCAUAAAUAUGUACCAGCAAAAUCCAGAACCUAAAUGACGAUGGAUGCUACGACGCCAACGAAUCGAGUCGUGAUCUAAGACGUGCAUGUAAAACAGCGCUGCAGCGUGUGGUUGACCCUCUCAAAGACCAGAAAGUGCCGAAACUAAGAAUUUUGGUAUGGGGAAUCAAUUGGUUGUAUUAGUAUAUUAGUAUAUUGCAUUAGUAUAGGAACAAUUGACAAGCUUUAUACUACCGGUGGACGCAUAUUUGUCACAUGUUUGUAGGGAUUCCCUAUAUACAUGGGGCAAUUGAUUGUAUGUCAUUCCCCAGAAAGAGAUUCCCCAAAAAUCAUUUCCCCAGAAAACCAUUCCCCAGAAUAUCAUAAUCCCAAGAAAGGCAUUUCCCAGAAUACUCCCUGGAAAUUCUGGAAAAUUCCGUUCUGGGGAUUGGCUUUCUGGGGUA